CCUGAGUCUCUGCGUGCAGGUGGUGAAGUCUCUCCGACGGACGCAGCAUGCCCCCUGAGCAUCCGUUCUCCCCGGGGUGCAGAGCGUCGUGUAUCGGGGCGACGCAACAGCCGCCGUCCGCAGAGGACUGACCCGUAUCGUGAGGCGGAGCAGUCGGCUGGUCGCGGUCACCAGCGCCAUUUAAGAUACAAAGUGGAUACCUUUUAAAAAAAACCCACCAAAAAUAGAAAGUAUUCGAUAGACCAGACGGAGCGGUUGUGGGCACGGAUACUUAUGGACGUCUUGUAACCUCCAGCGUCACUCUGUCACACAGUUGGUCCUCCUCCUCCCCCGCGGCCUCGUUACGUCACGUGUUUACUAGGAACACGUUCUGCUACGGGUAAAGCCUGGCUAUUAUAAGACCAAGCUCAAUCAUAUAUUGCUCGUUGGUCUGGGGAAGCUGCUGUCAUUUUCUUCAGCACAAGAGGCUUGAUUAAUGGGCCUAGUUCAAAUGACGCCCUCGCUUCCCUAUCGUCAUUGCAAUAAACCAGCCAAUAGCGCGCCAGGGGAAAAAAGCCAGUUUGGUGAUUGGCUCCCACAAAAACGUAUGGAAACUAGAAUAAAUGUAUUGGUCUUUUCCAGACCCUUCUACAGGGCGAACUAAAAUCGCCGGCAGAAAGGGCAGGGAUACCCAGUCUACUACGGGUUUGGAAUUAAUUGUCCGGCUAAAGCAUAAAUGUGCGCUCCUCUUUGCUGUUGUUGUUGUUGUUGUUGUUGUUGAUGUUGUCUCAGCUGCUGCAACUUCCAGUGAGUCUGCCCUCAAAGGUGAUGACGCUCACGAAUACUUCCGGGGUUGGAAACCAAUGAUAUGACCGCAUUGAUUCGACCGUCAUAGUCGCCGCCAUAUUGGAGAGGCCAAGACUGAACUGUAAACAAAGUAAACGGUCGAAUGCGUUUUUUUCAUUACAUUACAUUACAUUAAUCAAUUGUAAACGUAACAGUGCUUUGAAUCCAGAACACGGAAACUCGCACGUUGAAUUGUGUGUCUGCAGGUCAGUCUUGCCCUCUCCAAUAUGGCGGCGACGUUUGCGUACGUCCAACCAAUGCGGCUUCUAU
ensembl:lncRNA